rnacentral:rRNA from 1 species
CAGUCGCCGCGGUAAUACGGAGGAUCCAAGCGUUAUCCGGAAUCAUUGGGUUUAAAGGGUCCGUAGGCGGUCUUGUAAGUCAGUGGUGAAAGCCCAUCGCUCAACGGUGGAACGGCCAUUGAUACUGCAGGACUUGAAUUAUUGGGAAGUAACUAGAAUAUGUAGUGUAGCGGUGAAAUGCUUAGAGAUUACAUGGAAUACCAAUUGCGAAGGCAGGUUACUACCAAUUGAUUGACGCUGAUGGACGAAAGCGUGGGUAGCGAACAGGAUUAGAUACCCCGUAGUCCCUGUCUCUUAUACA